UACGUAGGAGGCAAGCGUUGUCCGGAAUUACUGGGUGUAAAGCGCGUGUAGGCGGCAGGCCAAGUCUGUGGUGAAAUCGCUCGGCUCAACUGGGCGGGGUCCAUGGAAACUGGUCAGCUGGAGGACGGUAGAGGUGAGUGGAAUUCCCGGUGUAGUGGUGAAAUGCGUAGAUAUCGGGAGGAACACCAAUGGCGAAGGCAGCUCGCUGGAACGGUACUGACGCUGAGACGCGAAAGCGUGGGGAGCGAACAGG
rnacentral:rRNA from 1 species